AAUGCGUAAAGAUAAUGUAGUAUUUUUAAUGAAAAACAAGUGAAUUUCAUAUUGAAAUUAAAAGAAAGGUGCAAAGCAAAAUAUGUAAGUUGCCGACUGGUGGCGUUUUCAAUGCUUUAAGCGAUGUUUACAUAAAAAAUUAUCAGUGUCAAUAGUUUUUGUGAAAGUUGGAGUAGGGUUAAACUGAAAAAUGGAGACGAUAAAGACAAUUUCAAGAACAUUACAAGAACUCACACCACAUAGCAAAGAUGUGCAGCAACAGCAAAAUAACGAGUGGUAUAGGAGUUAUGGAAACUUUAUCCUUUAAUAUGGUUGAACUAUUAAAACUUUUGGUUGACUUCAAUCAAUACCUUGGCUCUACGAAUUGCCUUCCUUAACAUAAUGUUAUAAUAGCAUGGCACGAAACUGUUUGCUGGAGCAAAAUAGAUUACAAGUUAGUUGUUAGUAGCAUAAUAAACUUUGCUGAGAAGAGGAAACUAACAGUCCUGGACCUAAUUUCAAUGAUAUUUAUAAGCAUGAAAUUCCCAUACAAUAUGAUUGAAGAAACCGUUUUCUGGUAAGCAACAAUUCACUUCAAACAACCAGAGAUCAAUGAUGUCCCUGAAGCGAUGAAGCUCCAACAAGGACCAGUGUUUAUCGAUGGCAUGGUGAAUUCAACCGAGGUCGUAGUUCAUGAAGAUUGCCCAAAAUCAUAUGUUGUUCAGAAAAUCAUUGAUGCUGUGCGCCAACUGCUAUUGCAAGAUCGUCAUGUGAAAUUGAGACAACCUUAGGCAUUAGUGGGAACAGCAUACAUUCAAUAUUGCAUGAACAUUUGACCGUCAAAAAAAAUUGUUCGCAUUGGAUCCCACACAAUUUGUCAGUCGCCUAAAAAAAAGGCUCGUGUCGAUUGGUCGAAAGAAACGCUCCAAGAAUACGAAAUAACUGCAUUUUUAAGAAAUCAAAACAUCGAUUUGAUGAGUCAUCUGCCAUAUGGUCCUGUCUUGGCACCGCAUGACUUCUUUUUAUUCUCGCACGUAAAAAGUAAAAUGAGUGGUCAACGUUUUUUGACACAUGAAGAAGCGGUUGACGCAUUCAGAAUGUAUGUUUUGAAGAUACCUCAAUCAGAGUGGCAAAAGUACUUCGAAAAUUGGCUCAAACGCAUGCAAAAGUGUAUACAUAGAUCUUAAUGAGGAAUAUUUUGAAAAACAAUGAAGCGAUUUUCAAUGAUUAAUAUUUGUUUUUGUGUUCUCUAAUCCCGAAAUAUAAAAGGCAACCCCCGUAACAAUGAGUGUGAUUCGAUUCAAGUUUAAGCUCAGUGAUAGAUUAUUAUGUCGUUAGUUUCAGAAUAACAUCCUAAGCCGAAAUUGUCGUGUUCUUUUAUAUCUCUCUGUCCAUGUCUUUGCGACCAAAAUGCUGAUGGCAUUUGCAAUCCGAAAUAUAAAAGGUAACCCCCUUAUCAAUGAGUGCUAUCCGAUUCAAGUUUAAGCUCCGUGAUAGAUUAUUAUGUCGUUAGUUUCAGUUCCGUGUUCAUCUAUAUCUGUCUUUCCAUGUGUUUGCGACCAAAAUGCUAAUGGCAUUUGCAAUUCGUUCAUUAAAAAUUUUAAAUAUUGAAAUUGUCAAAUAUAGUCA